rnacentral:lncRNA from 1 species
GUGGUAUUCUCGAAAGCGGCCUAAGUUAAAUCAGUGGCCUAAACCUGGUUUAAACCAUGGACUAUCUUUUUUGCUAUUCUCGAAGGUGGCCUAAAGAUAAGCCAGGCUUAAAUACGUCAUAGUUCGGCCUAACUUUAGGCCGCUCAGAGGGCAGGUUUAAAUACGUCAUAGUUCGGCCUAACUUCGCGUGACGUCACGUUUUAGUUAAAUCGAGUGUCCGCGGAGAGUGAACGGUUCUUUUCAAUUGAUGCAUGGGGAUGAAAAAAGAAGGCCUCUCCCAAGCUACUGUGACCCGCCUUGUGAAGUCCAUCUCAAUAGCCAUUGCCAGGAGAUCGGAGCAAUACAUCUCAAUUCUUUCAACAAGAGAGGCAGUCCUGCAGAGUGAAGACCCAACAUGAAUUUUAUAAUUACUGCCAUUUCCCUGGCGUAAAUAUGGUUGGUGCUAUUGAUUGCACCCACAUAGGCGUCUCCACGCCAGUUGGCCCAACACCAGUUAUUUCCUGAACAGGAAAAAUAGAUACUCCAUUUUUCUUGGAAAGUCUGCUGGAUGAUGUUCUUCUUCAGUAAAAUAAAUGAAGGCAAAUAACCUGAUGAUUAAGACAAAUUCAGAGAGAGGAAGGAGAACUACUGAGCUGCUGAAUUUCUGAGAGACAUACUUGCGGGGACUAUGAAGUUCUACUUAGCCUAUUCAAUGAACCAAACUCCAUCUGCUGUAACUGUGACUGCAUGGGGAUCAAAACCUUUGUAGUAUAAUCCUCAUAACAUGAAGCUAUGGUAACAAACAAGCAACCAUUGAUAAUAAGCCUGAUAUGUCCUUGUUGUGUGUGUGAACCACAAAGCAACCAUUACUCAUAAGGAUGUUUUUAUGUACAUCAGAUGUUUACUGUUUCACUGGAAAAAUUGUGAUUUUAAGUCAUUUAAGAAAUUAUGUUUUGUAAUGUGUUUUAUAAUAUAGUGCAAGUCAUGAUAUAACAGAUUCCCUGCAAAAGAAACAUGGCUCAAAAGUAGACUAUGCUUUGUUUUAAAAAAAUGGGAGAAGGUAAUGUAACAAAUACAUAACAUUUAAUUCUAAUAGUUUCAAGUAGCAGAUUAUGAGGCUAUUGGAGCUUAAUAUUUGAUUUUGACCUUCAAUUUUAUAAUCGUAUUC